GGUUCUUCUCAGGGAACAUGGUGACUUAUUGGACAAGAUUCAUCUCACUGCUCCUUCUCUGGUUGUAAUUCAGGAUGAGGGUCAAGGAGACCAGCCUUGCUCUGCAUCUGUGACAAAUCCACCUGGGCAAUGAGAAGUUGCUUUGAAAAAAUUAGAAUGAAAGAGAAUGAAAUGAUUCCAAAAGAUCCUGAUCUUAAUCUGGUAAAGGACUGUCCUCUGUGACUGCUAUUAAAGUCGUCUGGAUGUUUUAGAAGACAAAAUGAACAUUCGGUGUUGGCUACGCUCAGGAGCCCCAGAUUGUGUGAGACUAGAGCUUCCUGCUGCUCCCAGUCCCUGCUCUUCAUCAGCUCUGAGUACUGGCCCUCAGCUGCUCUGUGCACAUGCUACCUCCUUCCUCCUCGUCCUGCCUCCAAAGUCUUCUCCCCUGCUCCCAGGAGGACAGUCAUCAUCCCCUCCUGGAAUCCACAUCGACAAACACAUUGUCAUAUAUAUGUGUGUGGUCAGCACACUUUGGUGAGAGAAUGAAGAGAAUGCUAUGAAUUAACCCAUGUUCAUUAUUAUGCCACUAUUAUCUGUAGACUACCAGAAAACAGGAGCAAUAGUCCUGUAAAUAACUGAAGAAUUCAAAUCUUAUGUAUUAGACACUUCAAAAGGAAAUGCAGAGAGAUAUGGCAAUUUAAAAAUUGGUGCAAUUUAAAAAUUCCGCAAUAGAGUAUGGAAUCACACCUCUAAAUUUUCUUUUAGACUAAAGAAGAGAGAUUGAGGCUCAGGUUUUUCUUUCAAGCUGAGUUGACUCAUAUAGAUGAAUAUUUCCUUUUGGACUGAGAUGUUUCCAUGAGUAUAUUUCAUUUCCAGUGUAAUAACACAGAAGAAGCAUCGAAGCUGUGACAUUCUCUGAUGCCCAGGAAGAAGGGAAAAGUUUCUCCAUGAAAACAAAACUGAGAAAGUGUAGAAAAUGACAAUUCUGCCCUAUUUACAGAUCUUAUUUGGGGGAAGGUGCUGAGAAAAGCUGGAUAAAGGCUGGCACAGCCCAACAUCUGCAGCAUCACCAAGCUCACCAGAUGCCAACACCUUCCCUGAUGACACGGAGGGUGAUGUUCUCCAGCCCUGGAGAAUGGUGAUCAUCACCAUUGCUACCUUCUGAGAGACCAGGAAUCCCCCAAAAUCAGCACUUCAGUAAAAUUCAGUCCCAUGGCUCCAGCUCAACAAGAUGCUCAAAUCUGCCUUUCCUGCGCUCCAGCAACCGGAGGCAAUGGCAACCCACUCCAGUGUUCUUGCCUGGAGAAUCCCAGGGACUGGGGAGCCUGGUGGGCUGCCGUCUAAGGGGUCACACAGAGUAGGACACAACUGAAGCAACUUAGUAGCAGCAGCUGCGACCAGGAGGGGACCACAGAACUCCCUGUAACAGAGCAACUGGCCUUUCUCGCCCAGCAGACCUGUCUCCAGAUCCAGUGCCUUGAACUCCAACUCCACGUCCACCAGGAGAACUGGGGAGUCUGUGUAGGCAGGAGUCUCCAGCUGAGCUAGGUGCUGCUGGGGCCCAGGGAGAGCCUGGGGCCUUGGGAGCAAUGAGGAACCUUCCUUUUGGGGCCAGAUGGCCCAGGGGAGCUUUGCAGGAGUUUGGCUUAGAACUUGAUUUCUGCACUUGCCCCUGAGUCCAUCCUCCCCUUCCUGGGAAGAGAUUUUAGCCAGAGCAGUUUACACUGGUGCCCGUUUAUGCUGCGACUGAUGGCUGGAAAUCUGAGCAUGUUGUGGCACAAUUUCAGAUUCCAGGUUGUUUCUCGGGGAAAAAACUAAUUUGGGGAAAGGGGAAAGGCAUGUACAUUCCGGACAGUAAGCUAGAUAUUGGGACCAUCCAGUGGAAAGACUUGAGGACAAGACUGAGACUUACAGGAGCCCCUGGGGAAAG
ensembl:lncRNA